AUUGAACGCUGGCGGCAUGCCUUACACAUGCAAGUCGAACGGCAGCACGGGAGCAAUCCUGGCGGCGAGUGGCGAACGGGUGAGUAAUAUAUCGGAACGUGCCCAGUAAUGGGGGAUAGCCCGGCGAAAGCCGGAUUAAUACCGCAUACGACCUACGGGUGAAAGCAGGGGAUCGCAAGACCUUGCGUUAUUGGAGCGGCCGAUAUCAGAUUAGCUAGUUGGUGGGGUAAAAGCCUACCAAGGCGACGAUCUGUAGCUGGUCUGAGAGGACGACCAGCCAGACUGGGGCUGAGACACGGCCCAGACUCCUACGGGGGGCAGCAGUGGGGAAUUUUGGACAAUGGGCGCAAGCCUGGUCCAGCCAUGCCGCGUGUGGGAAGAAGGCCUUCGGGUUGUAAACCACUUUUGUCAGGGAAGAAACGCUCUGGGCUAAUACCCUGGGGUAGUGACGGUACCUGAAGAAUAAGCACCGGCUAACUACGUGCCAGCAGCCGCCGUAAAAC
rnacentral:rRNA from 1 species